CUACUGAUGAUCCUCAGAUGAAGUGAUAAAUGUUUUGCUUUCCUGGCUGCCUGAGUACCCAGAGAAAGUUAAUACAAAUGGAAAUUCAGCCAUAUAUGUAAGCAAUCUGUCGCAGCAAAGAGAUUUCCUGAGUUUUCUGGCUAAGAAGAGUUUUGAAUAUCCUGGCAGCAAAACGCAAUAGAGAUCAGCUGCAUCUGGCCCAUCUAAGGAUAAAAAACAAGUGUGCAAAGACAUAGUUGUAGGUCCUCCUGGUUGUGCUACGUGGGACACCACCUCAGCAUGGCCUGAUGAGCGGUGCCAUGUCCACGCCCAGGAUCCGAACCAGGGAAACCCUGGGGUGCUGAGGUGGAGCACAUGAACUUAACCACUUGUCCAGGGGGCUGGCCCCAAAUAUUUAUUUUUUAUCUCAAUCUUCCUAAUUUUUAUUUUUAAUAUGUGUCUUGUAAUG
rnacentral:lncRNA from 1 species